CUGGCCCCAGCUGGAGAUACUCUCUGCACAUACUCACUGAUGUGUUUCAGUAUUGAUAAUUGGUUCUGGCUCACUCUAAGCCCAAUCCAAGUCUUCAACUGAUAUGCCUUGUGAAAUUAUUAUGCACCUUGUUUUUGAGCUUUGCUUCUCCCUUCAUGCGCUGCUGCCAUUUACUUACCUGUAUUGUAGGGAUAGACUGAAAAACCUCAUAGCAUUCUUACCUGAGAGAUGGGCAAAUAAACAUAAAGUUCUGUAUGGGCUUGUUGUAUGUUUACUAUUUCCACCCUAAACAUUUCUUUACUUUUUAAAAAUGGCACUCUUGUUAGGUUUGCUAAUGUAUUUUUAAAUUUUUCAUGGUCAGUAAAUUAAGCAAGGGUGAAUAACUGGUGGGUUUUGAUUGCUAGGGGUAGGACCUGCAGAGUGUUUGGCAGGUCAGAGAUGGGACCAGUUGAGUUUGGGUAGAUAUGGGAAGGGUCUGAUGGGCUUUGACUCAUCAGGCUAGAGCCUUGUACAUUGGGUGUGGGUUCCAUGGGAGGUAGUUUAACACACACACACCUCAACUCAGAAUAUCCACCACAGGGUUGCUUUCAACCCUACUCUCUGCCACAAAUCAGGCCUUCAGUAUUACGUUUCUCCACGCGCUCCCCACCCCACCCCUACCACACAUAUGUAAGAGGAUAGGUGUCACAGGGAGAAGAGGUGACCUUUAAGCCCCUUUGUACAUCCGGUGAUGGAAUUGUGGGUAGGAAGGUAGUUAGCAAGAGAGCAUGUGAGUACAUAAUCUGUUCUUAAAUGCAAACAAUUCAUUUGGUGAAAUAAUAAAGGGAUGUAUUUUAAGUUGUUGAAAUCAAGUGUGCCUUUCUCCCCAUCUAGUGGCUGGUCCACAAGAGGUUUGUCAGUGUGCUGUUCAUCCUGCAUAAGCUAUGUGGAGAUCAAACCAGCAGGAGCAUUAAUGAAGUUGGCAGGGCUCCCAUCAGCAAGUUGAAAAGAUUUUGAGCUGUGGGCUUACUGGAUGGCAUUGAAUGUAGAUUUAUCUAGGUGCUGAGCUUCUGUAUCUUAUGUUUACUCACAUACAUACCAUGUAUACAUACAUACAUACCAUGUAUACCUGUUGCAAAUAUAAACGCCAUAUUAAUAAUCUAGUGAUAAUAUAUUUCAGGCUUGAUUCAAAGCCUUACAUGUUCUGUAGUUAUUGCAGACAUUUUCAAAGAUCUGUCAGUAUUUUAUUUGCCAUUCCCUGUAAUAGCAAAGUUAAGAAGCUGAAUGUCAAUCAGAUCUGAAGACAUCAACAACAACGGACCCAACAAAAAAUAGCCCAACAAAGACCUAUUAGUUCCCAGAACUUAUAUAAUGUUGGUGGCAGUUGGGUAACAUAUCCUGUUGUCUAGAGAUGAAACUUCUAGAUUCAUAUUGAAUACAGAAGAGAUGGUCCUGCCUUUGCUGCUUCCUUUUCCUGGGCUAUCUCAUGUUGACACACUGCUGUGUCCUGGAUUUCUCUAUUGUUUGUGAGAUGUAGGAAGCUGCCUUAAACCAGGUCCUACCAUUAUUCCAUCUAACCCUGUAUUUUCUAGAUGGAAUGGCAGUGGCUCUGCAGGAUUUUAGACAGGAUUCUAUUCCAGCUUUACCAUAGGAUGUGUGGCCCUUUUUAUGUGACAUACCUCUUUUUUCUCUGGUCAGGCCUCUCUUCUGUCACCAGGGUGGGAAGGGGAGGUCUAAAGGAAGCAGAAAUUAGGCAGAGCUGCACAAGUGGAAAUCCUGACGGAACUAGUUAAUUGGAUAUAGCCCAUUGUCUGGACUAAUCAGAUAAUGAUAAAGUCCACAUAGUUAUGGAGAGGAAGCAUUCUUACUUAGUUCAUAACCUGAAAAGGCUAUUUUAAUGCACUUUGGCUCUCAUGCAAAAUUCAACAGUGCCAGGUUCUUCUAGAUUAAAAUAAUACAAGUUUCUCUUUGUUGUUGUUGUUUUAAUGCAUAGGAAUGAUGGUUACACAGUGGGUUGGUUAACACAAGGCAUUCCAUUUGCAAGUACUCUUAUUUGAAAGAGAGCACCAAGGUUGCUAAGUGAAAUACCGGUCCCAAAGCAAGCAAAUGCCAAAGCUUAAUUAAAGACUGAAUCACAGAGCAAAGGCACAAAGGAAUUUUUCUACCACAGUAACAGUCACAGUCACAAACUAAAAACAGUUCAGCUAUGUAAGAUAGCUGGUUAGCAUGGGCAAGGGGGCCCCAGUAGUAAUAUCAUUUUUGGCAAAUGUGUUCCCCAUUGUCUAUCUUGUUAAAAGAAAUGUAAUAAGCUUUGUAUUUUGCAAAUAAUUCAGCAUAACUGUAAUUGAGCACAUUUUAUGCAUAGUUUCAGCAGAAUUGUAACCCCUCAGGCAAGAGUAAACUGAGGAAAUGUUAAUAUAACCCCAUUGUGAUGUGGAUUGUCCAUCUAUAGCCCAUUCUUCCAUCAUCUGUAAUUACCUGUAAUAACAAAAUGAUAUUACUGUGUCUGGCCCAUAGUCCUUUGAUCCCAGUAACUUAGGUCCCUUUUCACCUGUCAUGUACAGUAAAGGCUUAAGUAUAGACUCAGAGCAAACAACUUUGUGUAUGCCUAACAACCCUGAAGUUGCUGAAGGUUCUGAGAUAAUCUGAAGUGGUUUUUAAAGUACUUUUAUAUAGGUGGAAAGGUUAGAACUGUUUUGCAAUUGAUUUCACAAGAAAAACCUCAACAAAAAUCUAGUAUACUUUUUAUGGAUCAGACCCAGAAGUAUAGUUUGAAAAACUAGUUCCAACAAAAUGGAUUGGUUCCAGACUUAAUCAUAUUUGGUGUAGGGCCACUUUUGUAUGAGUGGUAGCCUGCAAUCCUAGCCUCAUUUACCUGGGAGUAAGCCCCACUAAAUUCAGCAACUUACUCCUGAGCAGACAUGGUUAGGAUUGCAUUGUUACUAUUGACUCCAACCCAGUGUUUCACACUUUGUGUACAAGUGCACAGUUCACCAGCAGCAACAUCCUUCCCAUAGUAUAUAAGUAAUCACUUGACCCUUGCCUGCUUCAACUCUUGAAAGACUUAGGUGAGGAUUGUCGUCUGGGGGGAAAAAAAUCAAUGCACAUUUAUAGCAAAAGAUCAUGUAAAUAAGGUAUGAACAUAAUAAAAAUCUGAACAACUGAGUUAUGCAGUAAAACUUGAUGGGUUACCUAAUCAAAUCUAUGAGGGCGAUAAAAAUGGUUUAUUAUCUCCCUUAAUCCAUAACUUCUAAGAGUCAUAUAACCUAAAGCAGUGGAAGUAUUAGGUCUGCAUAGACAGAGUGCUUUAAGGACCAAGCAGCUAUGCUGGAUGAAGAAUGAGAACACCAGUGCCACUGUUUUUUACUAGAGUUGUGGGCACCUGAAGAUUUAAUUCUGUGCUGUGUAAAUGUCUUCAUGCUUCCAUGCUUCCUUCAUGAUAUUAUUGAUUAUAUGACAUUGAAUAUUGUGCAUGAUACCUUGGGCAUAUUGCAUUAUUACUUUGGACAGUGCACCACAUUCCCCAUUUUAAAUUAUUGAAGCAACUUCCAUUUUUAAGUGCUGAUCCAGACAGCCCUGCUCAACAGCUGCUUGCACUCCCUGGUCAUGAAGAUGCUGGCCCUUUCCCGCCAGCAGAGAAACCUGCUUCACCUCUGCUAGCUGAUUGACAACCCUAAAGGUAAAGAGACCCCUGACCAUUAGGUCCAAUCGCGGACGACUCUGGGGUUGUGGUGUUCAUCUCGCAUUAUUGGCCGAGGGAGCCGGCGUACAGCAUCCAGGUCAUGUGGUCAGCAUGACAAAGCCUGCUUCUGGCGAACCAGAGCAGCGCACGGAAACACCGUUUACCUUCCCGCUUGGAGCGGUACCUAUUUAUCCACUUGCACUUUGACGUGCUUUCGAGCUGCUAGGUUGGCAGGAGCUGGGACCGAGCAACGGGAGCUCACCCCAUCGUGGGGAUUUGAACCACCAACCUUUUGAUCGGCAAGCCCUAGGCUCAGUGCUUUAACCCACAGUGCCCUACCUGGGUUCAAAUGCCGGGGACUGGGGGCCAUAUCUUUCCCGGCUGAGAUGUGCCUCACCUGGGAACUUUACAUUUUCUCUGAGGUGACAUAUAGAGACCAACUGCUGGCAUGUGUCUGGAAUAAUAUCACUUGGGCAGAGCUUGAGGUAAGAGAGGAAGGGCAAGCUAGAUGAAGGGGAUGCAACAUAGGCAGUUUGUGGGUGUUUUGCAUGCCAGCCCCUUCUCUACCCAGAAGAAUUAGAGUUGUGCUAUCAGCCAGCCUUCUGGCCUGUUGAUGCUGCAACUAAACACCAGGUCAGUUUUCAGUAAGAUCUCUCUUGUCCAUUUGAUUCACAUGUGGAGGAGCAUUUCUAAGUAGUACAGCCUGGAGCCAAGAACAGGAUGGAACUGAUGGUGGCCUGCUUGUUCAUAAAGCUGUUUGAGGAUGAAAUUGCAUGUAUCCAUGAGGACCUUAACUACUACUACUCCUCUUCUUAUUCUUCUUAUGCCACCCUAUACCCAUAGAUCUCAGGGUGGUUCACAACAUAAAAUUAUAAUAUAUUACAAAAUACAUAAUAAAACAAAGCAAAUCAAUAAUUCUUCCCUUCCACAUUUAAAAGGGCAUCAAUGUCAAUCAGCCAAAGACCUGUUGAAAAGGUAUAUAGUGAAGGUGCCAGCCAAACAUCCCUGAGGAGAGCGUUCCACAAGCAGGGAGCCACUGCAGAAAAGGCCUUUUCUCAUGUCUGCCACCCUCUGGACCUGGAGGAGGCACAUGAAGAAGGGCCUCGAGAGGAUGAUCUCCUAUUUGAUAAGGUGAAUCUCAAGAGGUCUACUCAUGUUGUGUUGGAUGAAUUACAGGUGGUAUGGCUUGAGGAUGUGGACCUGUUGAGUACAAAAUAUUUUAGGUUCAGCAAAUUAUGAUACUUGGAUAUAAAGGAGGGAUGUGCUGUUCUUUAGUGAGUAUGCGACGGUCUGAGGUUCAGUCUCUGGUAUUUCCCCCUAAAAGGAUCUCUAGUUCAACUAGGAAACACGUUUGCUUGAAUUCAUGGGAAGCUGCUAAAGGUCAGAGUAGAUAGCACUGGGUUAGAAGACCAAUGCAAGUUUCUGACCAGAAUCCCACAUUUUGACUGAUUCUGUAAAGGAAUGAUUAUGUUCCAAAUAUACAGUACAUGGAAUUUUAAACUAUUUUUGUGUAGUACUAUCUUUGGGCUAUAUUUUUCAAGCAAAAGAACUGUAUUUCUAAUACAAAAUGUGGUGGUGAUAAAAUCAUUAGUGUUGGGUUCUGCAUCAGAUAUGGUAGGGACUGCUGCAUCUUUUGUCCCAGUGUGCAAAACAGAAUCCAUAGGGUCUUACCUAUCUCUAUAAACAUAUAAAAGGUUGGCACAAUUGAGAUGUUUGUGCUUAUUUCUCACAUAGGCUCCUCCGCCAAACUCGUUACUCAAAAGGGAAUAAUGAACAUAGGCUGUCAGAAGAGUAGUCCACAGCAUGACCUGCACCAUAUGGCAUUAGGGAGAUAGGUUGUGUGUGCUAAUUUAGAUCUCUGCCUUCAUUAACAUUUUCUUAUGUUUUUCCCAAAUUAACUACCAUGCUGACUCAACAGUCAAGGAAUACUUGUGGGUGCCCUUCCUUAGAAUUGGUUAAUAUUAUAUCUGGAUCGGCUGAAAACAGAAACGCUACCUGAUCUUCUUUCAGCCAUGUUCCCUGACAUGUUUCAUUUGCAUAGCUGCUUUUUUCCAUCCUUAAUGCCAGCAACACCCUUUUUCAUCUGCUGAGGUUUACGUUUGUUUGUCUCUCAAUUCUCACUAGGAAAGAAAAAACCAAGUCAUAAAAUAUUUCAGUGCAUGACAUGACUAGGCAGUUGCAGAUCAGAAGCAGUGCUUAGUAAAUUGUAUAUUCCACUAUUCCUCCCCCUGCCAUUCCAUUUCCAAUAUGGAAUUUAAGAGCCUUCAGAUUUCCUUUUUCUGUAAGUUCCUGCUCCAGUUCUACAUGAUCCCCAGAGCCUUGUUUUAUCCUGUAUAAAACUGUAAUACCCUUUUAUAGUUAUAUGUAACUUUUUAAACAACUUGGCCCACAGACCUCAGAUGGAAUCAAUACAUGAUUGUAUUUUGGCUGAUUUCAUGUCAUUUGUACUCAGCAACCACAUGCUUAGAUCAUAACUGGGUAGUGAAAUAUAUGGGCAGUUAAGUCAGUUUAGCCUGACUCACUUAUCACAUUGGCAUAUCUCUUGCAUUGUUAGAGGAGAAGAAUAACAUGAAAUUUGUCUCAGUCUGUGUAAUGCAGUUGGGUCAAAUGAAAUUACCUUGGGGAUUCUCAGACAGUAGAAGAUUUGCCCUAGUUAGUUAGUUUGUUAAUAGUGAUUCUGGCUUCCUUUAGCCCUGUUUUGCUACCAGCUGAUUACCCUCAUAUCUUGCUAUGAACCAAACACACCUCGUGCAAUAUACCAUUAAGUAUAUUUUUAAAUUUAAUAUUUGACUCUCUAAUACACAUGCUCCGCUGUUCUCAGGAGCCCAUGUUCUGUUGUAGCUGUCUUCACCCAGAAGAAAGGGAAAUCCAAAAAUCUUAAGAAGAAAAAGCUUUCCAUUAUCCCAAGAUCCUUCCCAACAGGCCAGUUAAUGGCUAAUUGAAGAAAAAUGAUACUAAUUAAUCAUCAGUGUGCAUUUACCUCCGGAAUCUGGAAUUGGGGGCCUCCAUUUCUGGGAACUAACAUUUGUACAUUGCAAGUCUGGAGGAAACUUGCUGCUCAAUUUUAUUGCCUUUACCUCGGUGCUUCUAAUGACUGAUGUACCAAUAAAACUAUUUUGUGUCAUUAAAGCAGCUAUAUGUUUAUACUUUUUGAAAAUGAAUUUCCUCUCCUGCCUGGUGUGUAAUACCAAUUAAUUUGAAAUAUGGCUAUGGUUAUUUCCAUUCAUGAAACUUUAGACAGUGUCUUGCAUGAUAGUGAACUGGCUCUUCCAUUAAGCAGCAUCUCGCCAGCAAAUCUCUGGUUGGCUUCUGUCAUAUGUGACGUGCAAUGUGAUAUUUGUGCUUAAAGUACAUUGUAUUUAAAGCAUAUGCAUGUGAAGAACAACUUUAGUAGGAAGACUGUUUCUCUCCUGACUUUUGGAUGCUUUCCUGUGCAUCCAAAUGUUUAAUGUUUCUGGCAUUUCAGUACACUUUAUUUUAAUCCCAGUGGGGUGUAUUGUGAAAUUGCUAGCUAUUUCCAGGCAGUCUGAAAUAUAGAAGGUUAAACGCAUCAAAGAAAUAGUUGUUAUGGUUUAUGAUGUUUUGUAAGUGUGAAGGAAUUGUAUCUUUUUGUUUUCGUUAAGGCUUUACUGGCGUUCAUUGUUGCAGUGCAAAAUUGUAACAUGGCCAGAGCUGUAUUCAUAGAGUGUAAUGAGCAUAGCAUGAGACAGAGAAAGCAGGAAGGGUUUCUGGCACAAAUAUGAGGAAUGGAUCAGCAAACAGCAACAGCCUGUAAAGCACAUUUGUAGAAAUACACUCAAAUGGAAUUGGAGGAUAAGUGAAAAACUUAUGGUUUUUAAUCUGGUGACCCUGUUGGGAUCAUUCAAGUGAAGAAACAAGACACCAACUGGACAGUAACAAUGCUUUGUAAACUGGAGGUUCACUUUUCUCUCUGUGUCUAUCUGUAUUCCCAAUAUCACAGAAUUGUGCUCUUUAAAAACAUUGGUGGGAAUAUGGGAUAGAAAUUUUAACGGUUUAUCAGAGCUCCUAAGACUGUGCAAAUUUUUCUUCUCUAAUGUUCUUUGUGACUGUAUGAGAUACCCUCUGUUUUUCAUGGUCCAUCUUAAAAUGAAGAUUCAUGAGAAUUUUAAAUUAGAGAUUGCUACAGCUAUAAAUUAGACAGAUAAGGAUUGUGCUUCCUGAUUUGCGAGAAUGGUUUUUCUUCAGGUCAUAUUCAUCAGUGUGCAUCAUGGAUUUUGUGCUGGUGUUUGCCCCUGUUUUCACUAUAGCAUGCAAUAAUUUGGAUUAUGUCAAGUAGUAUGUGAAUGUGAGAUAAUGUGUGAAUUGCUGGGUUGCAUAUGAAAAAAAUCUAGGGGUCUUAGUGGACCACAAGUCAACAGUGUAAUGCAGCAGCAAAAAAAAGCUAAUGCUUGACCGCUGCUCAAGUUAUGAGCUUCCCUGAUCUGUAAAGAAACUGACCUCAAAGUCCACUAGCCCUGCCCAGCCAACACUGCUGCUUGUUUUAGGCAGCAUGUCCUUCCUGAUGUUUCUGUGUUGAAGUAGGCACACACCGGUGGUAAGAUGUGUACAGGAUAGGCUAUUGGUGUGCUUAGUCUUCCUGCAGGUUAGAACAUGGUUGCAGCCCCUCUCACAGAACUUUAAAGAACCUGAUCUUAAGGAGCACUCAGGUAAUUUGUACAGCUGCCAGGUGUGAGUUGCUAACUUAUUUUGCUUGGAAUGUAUAGCUCAGGAAUACUGAAACCUGUUUAAAUUCCCUUUGGGGACCUAAUCCCCAUGGAAACCUCUCCUUCUACCAAGGAGAGAGGCUGAAAAAUCCACAGUACGUUCCCAUUAAAGCACAACCAUCAAGCAGCACAGAUCUCUUUUGUGCAGUCAUGUGGUUAGCACCUUUUGUAACUGUUCAGUCCUCUUAAUUUUGUAGAAAUGCAUACAAAUGUAUGAGCUGUUAAGUAUCAGGCUCCAAAAGGCUUACAGUGUUCAAAGGCUGCAUUGCCUGAAGAGCUGCCCAUUACUCUCCCCUAGCUGGUCCUUGAGCAAUAAGAACCUGAAGUGCAUUUGCUUGAAACAAGCAUGCACUCCUUUCUCUCUGGAUUCAUGCUGCUUCCAAAAACAUUGAUGAAUGAUCCUCAAAUAUAGGGAAUACUUAACAAGAAUAUUGAACUAUGGACAUGACCUAGUACUUGUGUGGGGAAUAUAAUUGGAGGCCUUGUGCCCCUCUCCCACACCCAUUUUAACUCUGUACAUCCUUCCUCCCCAUUUGGUAAGACCAGGAGAAAUGUUUAUUGCACAUUUUUAACCAGUGUUCUCAUUAUGUUAACAGAAAUAUUUGUGGCAUGCGGCCAUCAAAGAACAUGGAAGCAAGCUAAUGAAUGCUAAUGAUUUCCAAGUAGCUUGUCAAUAGAACAAAUUUAAUAAUCAGUGUUUUGGGAUUCUACAUUCAUAAGUCAGUGUGUUGCUAGGGUACAGAAGUCAGAGGUACUGUCUUCUCCCAUCUGCUUUGAGACUGAUGGUGAUCUGUAUUUCUUGCCUGUGUCAUUCUUCUAGCUUCAGGCCAUAGCCUGGAUGAGGCAGUGCCAAAAAUUAGAUGAGGAGUCUGCGAACACACUUUUUAAUCCAUAAUCGCUCAAUGUGAGAGACGUAUAUGUGGCAAGUACAUGUGACAACUAGCAAUGUGACAUUUCUAUUCUACAGUCAGAAAAUGCUACAUAUAGAAUAGUAAGAGUUGAUAGACAGAUGAAGAAAAACAGUUUUCUUGUACUGUACAUAAAGUUUAAUGGUUUCAGGCCUAAUUUCAACCAUUAAUCGCUGUUGACAUACUUUUUACUUUAGUUCAAUAGCCACAAAUUUAUAAAAAGUAAAUAUUAAAAUAUAUUUAUCAAUAUUAAGAAAAUCCUCAAAAAAGGGAAAAAAGAUAGAUACAGAUAGAUACCCUGCAUGCAAAAGCAGGCUUUGUUAGAUUGAGCAGAGGAGGCCAACAGUGGGUCCCAACAGUCAAGAAGACAGUUUCUGCAUAUGCUGUAGAGGAAGUGAGGAGCAGAUGCGGCUCAUCAAUGUGGGAAGGCAUCCCAUCUAGGAGAUGGAAAAUUCUGAUCCUAAACCUCCACCACCUUGCGGGAUCUCUUUGGGAGAUAAAAAGGCAAAUCCAGAAUGGAGUCCCUAAGGCAGUUGUACACCUCCUUCUGGCAACUCCUGCAGCCAAGCUGGUGCCAAACAUAUUGCUCUGCUUUUCUUUGGAUCACAUCCGUGAAGGAGCACAAGACCUCCAUACACACUUCCCAGCCUCACGUCCCAGAGAGAACACUUCAGUGUUGCUAACACAGGUUUUUGACUUCAACCCCGGAGGAGCACUCCAUUCUGUCUUGAAUGUCAGCAGCAGCAGAAGCAGCUGCAACAACAACAACAACAACAACAACAACAACAACAACAACAACAACAAAACACACACACACACACACAUAUAUAUAUAUUUAAGAGGAAGUAAACCUGUUGAAAGCAUGCCCAAUGUCCAUAUGAAAGCUAUAGGCAUCUCUUUAUGCAGGUCUGCCUUGUAGCAGAUCAGACUGUUGGUCUGUCUAGCUCAGUAAUGUAUACUGUGUCUCUGACUCUGCAGAAGUCUUACCCACCACCUGCUAACUGAGCCUUUUAACAAGAUUGUACUUGGUACCUUCUGCAUAUGAAUAAUGGGCUCUACAGCUUGAACUGUGGUCCCUUCGUCAUAUUGCUGGUCCCUUCCUAUAGGAAUUAUUGUCUGUAUUUAUCUUAUUUAUAUUUUAUUGAUCUUUCUAUCUCAUUAGGCCUCUUGUGGCUCACAGAAUGAGUUAGUUAAUUUAUUUUUACUUUGUACUUGUAACUGAUUCAUGGCAAAAUGCUUAGGUGGGCUUAAAAACAAACAAACAGAUGACAAGGGGAAUUUGGCCUCAAACUUAAGGAGCAGCCACUGAGAGUGCUUGCUCCACAAAACGUGACAAUGGAAUGCACUGCUGAUUACUGCUAUGCAACCAUGGGUACCCCAGAACCUAAUUAAAAAUUAAAAAAGAUUAUGCACUUGCAGACUGAAGAGGUAUAAGUCCAUCCUAUCACAUCAUUCCCUUGCAUAUGUGGUCCAGUGAUACAUCAGAGACCGUUGAAGACAUGUAAAUCUGAGGCCUGGUAUACACUUGCAGUAGAAUGAUGUGGUUAAACACUGAGGUUGCCCUGCAGGAAGAAGAUUGGUUUAUAAAUAAAUAUAACCACUGCAAACAUUGCUAGCCAAAGGCUAAAUGUGACAUUGUGUGUAUAUAUACGGUAUAUACCUGUCAAAGAGACAGAUUGUGUUUGUUUGCAGUCAGCUCUGAACAAGGAUUUAAUUCUAAUAAUAUUCUGGGAAUCCUGAUUCCCAGUUGUGCUGUUAUUUUAUAUAUUCUCGGAUAUUCCAGGCAAGUCUGUGAGGAAGAACUGGUUAUGUUAGUGUGUUGCAACUGACAUGAAGGUGUCCUUGCACUUGAUUUUUGACCUUUCUCUUCCCCUCCCGGGACAGAAUAUGUCACUUCACUUUCUUGGUCUUUGGCUUUUACUGCAGUCAUGUCAAUAUUCACUUAACACAAAAGGGCAUUUCUUUCAAUAAUGCACAUCAAAGGUGUUUUACUAUAAAAACUUGGACAAUCCAAGCAAGCCUUAUGCAACAUAUUAUGUAGCAUCUGAGUUAAGGGCAGCUUGGAGAGUUUUGUUUAAAAGAAAGCAAGAGGAGCUUUAUAGUAAGGAAUCUGUAACUGUAUAGAGAUGGAUAAAGCAGUAGUUGGAAGGGAUGUAAACCACUUUGGGAUUAGGUUUGUGUGUGUGUGUGUGUGUGUGUGUGUGUGUGUGUGUGUGUUUGUGUGUGACUCUCCCAUAGUUUGGGAGGAUUCAGUGUUUAACAUUUUCAAGAACAAUCAAAGCAGAACAUUGAACAGAUAUUUGAUGCUUUCUGGAGUUAAAUUUACAUGCAGUAGCAAGGGAAUUGAAAGGUUUUAGCAGGCAUGCAUAGAAUAGUGGAUGAUGAGGGGAGUGGAUUUGCCUUAGGGCUCUCUGUUAAUGAGAAAAUAUCAGUUGCGUUCACCACUGCUGUGUGUAUCUGCCUGUUCCACCCAUGAUGAUAAACACCCAUGAUGAUAAAAUAAGAAAAUUAUAGGAAGAAAUGAGACAUUGAAAGAUUAUCUAGUCUGUCUUCCCACCCAGCUGGGACCAAUUAUCCCUAUUACCAUCCCUGAUGCAAGAAAAACACUUAAAUUUCAUUACGUAAUAAUUUCCAGCCAGGAUAGUGUGUGUUUUCCAUAGGGUGUAAAUUGAAUAAUAAAGUGACUGAUGUCAGUGGAGUUCCCAAAUACAGAUCUCAAGUCCAACCCUGUGAAUCUUUCUAUUUUAGUACAGAAGAGUUCAGUAGUUACGUUUGAUUUUUUUUUUAACAGGGUAUGACAUAUUCUGUUGACUAGGCUUCCCCCAAAACCAUUAAAGGGAUAUCAGUUCUAUAAAAAUGUUUGCUGACAAUAUGCCUAGCUGAGCUUUGAAGCAAAAGUUAUGUGCAUGACAGAAUGCCAGCCAUCUGGCAACCAAACAUAUUUCACUCCUACCUAACCUCUGACUUCAGAAUUGUCAGAGCCUUCCUAUAGCACCUGUUCUGUAGGGCAGGGAUUUCUGUUUCAGAACCCUUCAAGUGAUGGUGAUGAUUAUGCUCCCAAAUAAUAAUAAUCUAAGCUGCAGCUGUUGAAUUUUAAAAGUUUCCUCCACAUAAAAAGUUAUGCUUUGCUUUUACAUUUUAAGGGCUGUGUUGUACAGCACGCAAAUCAUAGCAAAGCCAUCGUGCAUUUCUUCAUUGCAAUGAAACGUGACGUUAAGCUAUUACUUGAAAACUGUUUUCCAGUGCAAAUUUUAUGCCUACCAUGGGAAACAAUGGUAGCUAUGUUCAUUGUUAUAACCUUGAUGGGGAAGCCCAGUCUGCUUGUUCAUUUAAUCGUGCGAGGAGCUGAAGAUUCCUGUAUCCUCGCCCACUUUUGCUUCCUGGCUUCUAGUCACAGUGAUAAUAUGUAGUGAAUGUUGUGAUCACAUAAGUUUUUGCUGUUAAAAAAAAGUACUUAGAAAUGAAAUGUUAAUUUUAUACUCUGGAUAAAUUGCACAAUUUAGAAAUACAUUUAAUUUGCAUAUUCUAAAAGCACAUCCAGGAUUCAGGCAGGCAGAGUAUUUGCAGGAGUAGAGAUCUGAAUCUCACCCCAUGAGAGGAAGGGUGGGCAAAAGUCUGGAAAGCCUAGACAUGGAGGUGUGAAACAAAGGCAUAGGGUUAAAUAUUAACGAGGUGGGGGGACCAAAAAGUGUCAGUUGGAUCAGAGUUAGCUAGCUUGUACAGUCAAAGAGACAAUGUAGGAUGACCCUGUUUAUAGAAAAGAAUCAGAAGCUGUGGCGUUUCACCUCUAGAGGGUCUAGAAGGACUUAAGUUGCCAGGGAGGGAAACGGCCAAUGGGAGCUCUCCAGGCAGAAGCAGGGAUAUAUAAGGGGAAGCAGGCAGACAGGAGGGAGAGAAAAAAAAGUGAGUUGGAGAUGAGAGGAGUUGAAGGGAGUUGGUGUUGAGUUAGGAGUGGUUGGUUAGUUGCAGAGAGAGCUGGUUUAAUAUAUUGAGGUGGAGAAUAGGUGGUGAUUUUAGUCAGACAGGAUACAGAGUUGAGAGAUUAUUUACAAAUAUUUAUUUAGUUGACUUUAGCGGUAAUAGGCCGGUAAUUUAUAAUUAGAGGUAAUAGGCCGGUAUAGGAACCAUCUGAAAUUUGGAACAACCUAAGAUUUGUACUGCAACCAUUAAGCUUAUGAACACUCAAUAAAGCAACUUCGUUUUAUUUUACCUUAUCCUGGUCUGUGGUGUUUUGAGGAGGUAUUUAUUUUGUCGUUGGCACAUCACCAGUAGACCGCCAAACGUCCGGGGGUGAUGUGCAGGUCAGAGUGACUGCGACAGAAGCAUAUAUGACAAAUUUUUUCCUAGUUGUUCAGUUUCCUGACUUGAGAAUACAGAGAAAAUUAGAAAGAUCAGAACCAACUGUUCUCCAACUGUUUCUUUCACUGAGUGGACUGCACUGUGCCAGGUGGGAGAUGAACUGUAGCUUUUAAUGGCAUGUAUUUUCUCUGCUGAGAUCGUCUAUGAUGACUGGGAUAGAAAUUUUAUAAAUAAAAUAAAAAUAAUUAUACUGAUGGGGUAUUUUCCCAGCUUGUAGUACCCUGUUUCUCAUAUUUUAAGACAUACCCAUAAAAUAAGCCAUAGCAGGAUUUUUAAGCAUUCAAGGAAUAUAAGCCAUACCCCGAAAAUAAGACAUAGUGAUAGGCGCAGCAGCAAUGCCGGCCGCGGCAGGAGGAGGAAAAAAAUAAGACAUCACUUGAAAAUAGGCCAUAGUGUGUUUUUUGAGGAAAAAAUAAAUAUAAGACAUGUCUUAUAAUAUGAGAAACACGGUACUGUAAGCUUAUUACCUGCCCUCAGGCUGUGGAACACUGGUAAGCUGUUUGCUUACAAUAUAAGCCCUGGAAACAGAUGGUCAGUCCCCUACUAUUGCUGUCAGCCAAAGGGAGCCUUGGCCUUGGCCUUGUUGUAAAAGGGAGACUUUCGAUUCCAUCAACCAGGCAGAAAUACUAGUUUCUGACAAAUAAAUCAUCCCCAUCCCUUCUACUAAUUGUAGAACACAUUUCAGAGUCCAAUGCUUUUCUCUUUUCAGUGUGUUAGGCACGUGGAUUUAUGUAGUUUGUUCCACCACGUGCUUUCCUUUGUGGCAAUAAUUCUUAUAUGUAAUGUUGCAUAGAGGCUGCCCCAUAGAGAGUCGGCCAAUCUCAGUUUUCUCUGUACUCCCUGGCAGUGUCUCUUUAGGGUUUUAGACAGGAGACUUUCACAAACCUACCUGGAGAUGCUGGAUAUUGAACACAAGACCUUCAGAUGGUCAACCCAUUGAGCUACAGCCCGUCCUAAACCACCAAUAACCUGCCAGUGUGCUGUAGUGGUUAAGAGCGGUAGACUCGUAAUCUGGGGAACCGGGUUCGCAUCACCGCUCCUCCACAUGCAGCUGCUGGGUGACCUUAGGCUAGUCACACUUCUUUGAAGUCUCUCGGCCUCACUCACCUCACAGAGUGUUUGUUGUGGAGGAGGAAGGGAAAGGAGAAUGUUAGCCGCUUUGAGAUUCCUUUGGGUAGUGAUAAAGUGGGAUAUCAAAGCCAAACUCCUCCUCCUCCUCCUCUUCUUCUUCUUCUUCUUCUUCUUCUUCUUCUUCUUCUUCUUCUUCUUCUUCUUCUUCUUCUUCUUCUUCUUCCCAAAGAGUACUGAAUUCUUAUUUUACAUGAACUGUGAAAUCCAUUUGCUAUACUUAUUACUGAGACAGUCUUGAGUGUGCAGUCUUGCCACACAUAGGCAUAAAUGCUCACUUGCCACACAUAUCUACUACAUAAGCCAUUGGUAGCCUCAAAGAAACAGCUUUCAUAAAAUAAAAUUUUGCUCAGUGAGCUAGCAACCAGUGAAUUGUAAGUUAUAACAGCUUACUUUAGUUCCCAUUUUCUUGGAACUGGUGGUCAACAGGCGGAGAAGUACAAAUUGAAAACCUUUUUAGAUUAAAAUUCCUAAAUGUACGCUGAGAUGUUUUAUUCAGCUUGUUAACCCUCCUCAGGGUCUAUAAUUGAGGGCAUUUCCUGUGUUGGUGGUAGAUGGGAUGGGGGUGGAAGAAACUAACUGAUUCCUACGUAUUUAUCUAAUAAACUUCUGUAUCAUCAAUGUUAGUCCCACCCAAACAUUCCUGUGCAUUAACCAGGCCUGUGGGCAUCAUCAUCGUCAUUAGAUCAGUGCAGAGACCAGCACAUCUGUUAAAACAUGGAUUGUGGUGGGAAAUGUGUGUAAAUGAGUCUUUUUAAUGAACCGUUUGCUCCCUGAUGGGGUUAGUAGCCUUUAUAUGUAUGAGGGAAUAGCACUUUUUCCAUUUUACAGCUACUCAAUACUUUAAAGAGCCAGACCAAACCCAAUUUCAGAUAUGGUGACAGCAGUCACGAAAUUAAAAGAUGCCUGCUUCUUGGGAGAAAAGCAAUGACAAACCUAGACAGCAUCUUAAAAAGCAGAGACAUCACCUUGCCGACAAAGGUCCGUAUAGUUAAAGCUAUGGUUUUCCCAAUAGUGAUGUAUGGAAGUGAGAGCUGGACCAUAAAGAAGGCUGAUCGCCGAAGAAUUGAUGCUUUUGAAUUAUGGUGCUGGAGGAGACUCUUGAGAGUCCCAUGGACUGCAAGAAGAUCAAACCUAUCCUUUCUUAAGGAAAUCAGCCCUGAGCGCUCACUGCAAGGACAGAUCGUGAAGCUGAGGCUCCAAUACUUUGGCCACCUCAUGAGAAGAGAAGACUCCCUGGAAAAGACCCUGAUGCUGGGAAAGAUUGAGGGCACAAGGAGAAGCGGACGACACAGGACGAGAUGGUUGGACAAUGUUCUCGAAGCUACGAACAUGAGUCUGACCAAACUGCGGGAGGCAAUGGAAGACAGGAGUGCCUGGCGUGCUCUGGUCCAUGGGGUCACGAAGAGUCGGACACGAUUAAACGACUAAACAACAACAUAUAAUGGGCGAAAUGAAACUGUGUUACAGCGAAGUGAAGCUGAACACAAGCAUGAACAGAUCCCAAAAGCACAACAUAGGGUGUUCUCCACUGCAAUUAAAAGGGGGGGGGCAGGCCAUGGAAGCAGACAUUGGAAGUGCUAUUGGUGUAUCACUGACGUGGUCCGAGAAGCACUUGGGAUGAUAAUGUUGCUCUCUUUGCUCUCCCAUCCAACACAGAACUUAUUUUUAUUUUUAUCACUCAAGGCCCUUGCAAUAUGUGUGUCGGGUGAGGUAUGUGUAUAAGAAUGAAAAUUAUAAUUUAUUAGGAGGCAGUAGAACGUGUGGUAUCAUUUUUCCCGGAGGCAAAACCCGUUUUUGUGUAAGGUAAUUCCACUGACAAGAUGAAGGAUCCAUUCUGAGCCAGCAGACUGCAUGCAAGAGGCCAAUUAUACCUGUAACAGGGUAGCCAUAGCCAGCGACUUGUCACACUCCAGUGGACGGCACUACUAAUGUACAGUUCCCAGGAUUAAAAGUUGGCCGUCUAGUGUGCACCCAAGUGAAUCUCAAAGCAAUAAGCUUUAGUGAUGUAGAGAUGUAUCUUAAUCACAGUGCCUACUCUAGUAUCAGUUACUGGUUUCUCAAUCUUAAAUCCGGAAUGGUGUAGUGUUUAAUAGAAUGAGCUGUGGACCAGCAAAUCCCUGUUUCAAAUUUCACUGCAGUCAUGAACUCAUUGAGUGCCCUCCAGUACACUUAUCUUUUAGCCUUAUCCCUACUUGUAAUAACUAGAUGAUAAUAUUGGCCUGCCUUAUUGGUGUGUUGGAGAGAUUGCUGAGGUUGGUAAAAAGUGCAUUGUAUGCUGAGGAAAAAUGCUCUAUGAAUUAUCUGUCAAUAAUGUAAGCAAAAUGACUGCUGCAUUUUAAUAGUCUCUGCCUAAAUUUGCAAUAUAACUUGCAAUUUCUUGUAAUAACUGCUUGUCGUUGUUGUUUUAAGCAUAUGUAUUGUAACCCUUACUACUAAACAGAGAAGUUUAAUGCAGCAUUGAAAUGCUAAUCUAAAAUCUGCAAAGCAGAAGACAAAUGAGAUUAAGCCAUAAACUAUCAACAUGUUUUACAUGGGGUCUCACAAAUACUUU